rnacentral:rRNA from 1 species
CCACAGAAAAGACCAUCUCAGUUCGGAUUGUAGUCUGCAACCCGACUACAUGAAGCUGGAAUCGCUAGUAAUCGCGAAUCAGAAUGUCGCGGUGAAUACGUUCCCGGGUCUUGUACACACCGCCCGUCACACCAUGGGAGUCGGAAAUGCCCAAAGUCAGUGACCCAACCGAGAGGAGGGAGCUGCCGAAGGUGGAGCUGGUAACUGGGGUGAAGUCGUAACAAGGUAUC